GAUGAACGCUGGCGGCGUGCCUAAUACAUGCAAGUCGAGCGAACAGACGAGGAGCUUGCUCCUCUGACGUUAGCGGCGGACGGGUGAGUCACACGUGGAUAACCUACCUAUCAGACUGGGAUAACUUCGGGAAACCGGAGCUACUACCGGAUAAUAUAUUGCACCGCAUGGUUCAAUCGUGAAAGUCGCUUUUGCUGUCACUUAUAGAUGACUCCGCGCCGCAUUCGCUAGUUGGUAAGGUAACGGCUUACCAAGGCAACGAUGGGUAGACGACCUGAGAGGGUGAUCGGCCACACUGGAACUGAGACACGUUCCAGACUCCGAGGGGAGGCAGCAGUAGGGAAUCUUCCGCAAUGGGCGAAAGCCUGAUGGUGCAACGCCGCGGGAGUGAUGAAGGUCUUCGGACCCUAAAACUCUGUUAGUAGUGAAGAACAAAUGUGUAAGUAACUAUGCACGUCUUGACGGUACCGAAUCAGAAAGCUACGGCUAACUACGUG
rnacentral:rRNA from 1 species